rnacentral:rRNA from 1 species
AUUGAACGCUGGCGGCAUGCUUUACACAUGCAAGUCGAACGGUAACAGGCCUUCGGGUGCUGACGAGUGGCGAACGGGUGAGUAAUGCAUCGGAACGUGCCCAGAGGUGGGGGAUAACGCAGCGAAAGCUGUGCUAAUACCGCAUGUGAUCUGAGGAUGAAAGCGGGGGACCAAGCAGCAAUGUUUGGCCUCGCGCCUCUGGAGCGGCCGAUGUCAGAUUAGGUAGUUGGUGGGGUAAAGGCCUACCAAGCCGACGAUCUGUAGCUGGUCUGAGAGGACGACCAGCCACACUGGGACUGAGACACGGCCCAGACUCCUACGGGAGGCAGCAGUGGGGAAUUUUGGACAAUGGGCGCAAGCCUGAUCCAGCAAUGCCGCGUGCGGGAAGAAGGCCUUCGGGUUGUAAACCGCUUUUGUACGGAACGAAAAGGCUCUGGCUAAUACCUGGGGCUGAUGACGGUACCGUAAGAAUAAGCACCGGCUAACUACGUGCCAGCAGCCGCGGUAAUACGUAGGGUGCGAGCGUUAAUCGGAAUUACUGGGCGUAAAGCGUGCGCAGGCGGUCUUGUAAGACAGAGGUGAAAUCCCUGGGCUCAACCUAGGAAUGGCCUUUGUGACUGCAAGGCUGGAGUGCGGCAGAGGGGGAUGGAAUUCCGCGUGUAGCAGUGAAAUGCGUAGAUAUGCGGAGGAACACCGAUGGCGAAGGCAGUCCCCUGGGCCUGCACUGACGCUCAUGCACGAAAGCGUGGGGAGCAAACAGG